rnacentral:sRNA from 1 species
GCUUAGCCCCGAUUGAAACGGCAUCCUUUUUUUUUGUGUUGAACCCGAUUCAGUUUCUGUUAUAAUAAAAUUUAGCUUUUAAAAUAGUAAGAUACUGAACUAAAUUCAGCAUAAAAAAAAGAUAUAGUGAAAAGCGGGAAAUAGC